GGCGGUUGGAGGUUCCGAGCAAAGAAGAAGCCGCGGAGGGCACCGCGCGCACGCGCGCAGAGCUGGAGCCGGCCGGGCCGAGGGAGGUCUGGAUCUCACUGCAGGCGCAGACACAAUCACUCAUUGGACUUGAACUUGUAAAGUAAACUAGACGUGCAAGACUGAAAGCCUCACCGAUCCACCUGGCUCCACUCCCUAGCACCAAGACUACCAAGGUGCCACCAUGCCCAGCAUUUUCUACAUGGGUUCUGAGGAUGUAACAGGUUCUCAUGCUUGCAAGAAUGCAGAAGAGUCACAGGGGGAAGAAAAGGCAAAGUGGCUUCCAGGUGACUGUCAACUGGGCUGUGAGGAGCAGAACAGGGGGACUAUGGACACGGCCUGGUUCUGCCCACCAAAGUCCCAGCUAACAGCCACCGACAACUUCCAGCAACAUGAGUGACUACAAAGAUUUGAAUCCACGACUUCUGCAUGAAUCCUGGUCCCUGACAACCUCUGUCCAUACUGUAGAUUCAUGAGAAAAUGCACAUUUCAGCUGGAAGGUUUGGGGUGACUUACUACAAAGCAAUUGAUGCUUGAAAUACUAACAAUAGUUAGCCCCUUCUAGAUCCUUCCCUGCUCACACCUUCUUCCUACCUCCCUAACUAUACUUAUUAUUAUAAUAUACCUAUACUUAUUAUUCCUAAUGCUUUUCCUUUUUGACCACUAGUUUUUAUAUGUAUAUGAACAUAGAAAAGUAUUGUUAUGCAUAUAUAACAAUAAACUGGUUAAAUCAUA